UCAGAUUUGAUGGAAGAAAGGAAAAAAAAAAAGGGAGAGGAAUAGAGAGAGAGAGAGAGAGAGAGAGAGAGAGAGAGAGAUAUUACAAAAGAAUUAAACAACUUGAGGAUAAUGAGGGAGAUGGAAUUUUGCAAGAGAAGUUGAACAGUUCUACGAGGAGAUGAAACUAGUUGAGGAUGGUCUGUUCUUCAUCUUUUCAAUUGAAAUGUUAAAG
rnacentral:lncRNA from 1 species